GGAGGUUCUCGGGUGACACAUCCCAGGAUUGGGCUUCCUUGUCUCUGGUUCUGGAUGCAUUACCAGAGAACCACA
rfam:Myotis davidii contig78787, whole genome shotgun sequence.